rnacentral:lncRNA from 1 species
GAGCCAGGAGGCCUACGCAAUGGUUCAGAAAGAGUGCUGUCAAAAGAAAACACGAAUAUACAUUUUCUUUGGGAAUGGUGGAGUUGCAGGAUCCUGCAGCAACCCAUCAGAGGACAACCGAUCCCAACAGCCCUGGGUUCUGCCAAAGGCCAAGAGGGUUGAGAAGUUCUAGACGUUUUCUUAGCCUGUGUAUGGGAUAUGGUGCAAGAGCAUUUCUGUCUAUUUCAAGUAACUUGUAUUACUUUACAUUAUUUACAUUACUUUAUUUACAUUACUUUAUUUUAUUACUUUACAUUACAUUACUUUCUAUUUCAAAUAACAUUUAUUGAGUCACCCUUACUGGCUGGGCCGUCCAGAAGAUGCAGUUAUGAAUAAGGCAUGGCUCCUGCUUUGAAAACUGCACUGCCUAAAAAAGGAUGGGCACACCACAUCUGUAGGUUGAGGACCACUGCUUGUUUUUGUAAAUAGGUUUUAUUAGAGCAAAACUAUGCUUUUAUAUUUAUCUAUUGCCUGGUUGAUUUUGCUUUAUAAUGGCAGAAUUGAGUAAUACUAUAAAAGAUCAUAUGGCUCACAGCCUAAAAUAUUUACUAUUUGUUCCUUCACAAAAAAAGUUUGCCCACUUUUGUACAAUUCAGUGAUUCUUCAUAUAUUCAGAGAAUCAUUCAGCCAUCACUGCUAUCAAAUUUUGAACACAUUCAUUACUCCAGGAGAAACCUCAUACCCAUUAGCAGGACCACUGCCGGUUUUUGUAAAUAAAAUUUUCUUCUAGCAAAA